UACGUAGGUGGCAAGCGUUGUCCGGAUUUACUGGGCGUAAAGAGCGCGCAGGCGGUCGUUCAAGUCGCGUGUGAAAGCCCCCGGCUCAACUGGGGAGGGUCACGCGAUACUGAUCGACUCGAAGGCAGGAGAGGGAAGUGGAAUUCCCGGUGUAGUGGUGAAAUGCGUAGAUAUCGGGAGGAACACCAAUGGCGAAGGCAGCUCUCUGGGACGGUACUGACGCUGAGACGCGAAAGCGUGGGGAGCGAACAGG
rnacentral:rRNA from 1 species